rnacentral:rRNA from 1 species
GACAGAGGGUGCAAACGUUGUUCGGAAUUACUGGGCGUAAAGCGAGUGUAGGCGGCUUUGCAAGUCGGGUGUGAAAUCCCCAGGCUUAACCUGGGAGCUGCAUUCGAGACUGCAUUGCUAGAGUAUGGGAGAGGGAAGUGGAAUUUCCGGUGUAGCGGUGAAAUGCGUAGAUAUCUGGAGGAACACCGGUGGCGAAGGCGGCAUCCUGGACCGGUAUUGACGCUGAGGCGCGAAAGCCAGGGGAGCAAACGGG